GAUGUUAGCUCAUGGCUAAUCUUCCUCAAAAAAAAAAAAAAAAAAUUGUUCCAAAUACAGUUGUCACACAUUUCCAGAUUUUCAGGUAGUUAACUUCCCAACAAGGUAACUUGCCACAGAUUCCUGUUACUGUUGGCUUUAGAUACAUACAUAUCCCUGUGAUGUGCUCCCCUCCUCCAACCAAAUUCUAUAUUUUAAAAGUAUCAAUGAUACAAGAAAUAAACCAGUUUGCUGACUUUGAUCUAACUGGUUACUGGCCACACUGUUUUGGUGACUCUUUCUGUGAAACUGCCAAGCUAAAUGCCAUCUCGUGAGGCUGCUGGGCGAUCAUCCUGCUUGGCCUCCCCUGUCAGCUCCUUUGCCCCAGCCUGGAUCUUCUCGGGAAACAGAUUUCUCUUUGUGUCUUCCUGUGCUGGUGGGCAGAAGGGGGUUUGGUCAUUCUUUCCUUCGAAGAGCUGAGAAGUUCUUUAAGACAGCAAACAGCUAGAUGGUUUGUUUGACUGGCCAGUCAUUCAUUCACUUAUUCAACUGAUAUUCACUGACACCUAUUACAUUCCAGGCACUGAAAGAGAACACAGGGCUGAUUCCUUGACCUUUUGCAGUUCAUAGUCUAGUGAGGAAUACGAAUAAUUACAAAGGUAAGAAGGGUCAUGGAAGGGUGGUAUGGAAGCAUGAAUUCUACUCACUCGUCCUCCAAAACUACCUUUCACUCUCCUCCGCUCGAAAGAGACCACAUCUUGAUGAAAUUAUUACAGCGUAUCACCAGGAAAGACUCUUUUACAGCCCUCAGCACUGUUAUUGCGUGAACUGGCUCAGCAUGGCCGGCCCAGUGAAGGACGCCAGUGGUAGUAACCGGGGAAGAGGGAUCCCCUGGCUCUUCUUACCAAACUUCUUCGAUCGUUUGGAGUGGUUUGGCCAUCAGUUAGUCAGGAAGAGGCCAGAAGGACACGUGCUGAUAAUGCUUCAAGAAAGUUAAACUUUAGGAAAAACUCGACCGAAGUAAAAAUAGCUAUGUAGUCAGUGACCAAAGCUACUUGGAUGGUCCUGUUGAUUGCUCUUGUGCAUUUUAUCACACGAAUACAGGCUUUCCCCUAAAAGUUGAAAAUAAAGAAGGGAAAUGUGAUGAAUGGCA
rnacentral:lncRNA from 1 species